rnacentral:rRNA from 1 species
UACGGAGGGGGCUAGCGUUGUUCGGAAUUACUGGGCGUAAAGCGCACGUAGGCGGCUUUGUAAGUUAGAGGUGAAAGCCCGGGGCUCAACUCCGGAAUUGCCUUUAAGACUGCAUAGCUUGAAUUGUGGAGAGGUGAGUGGAAUUCCGAGUGUAGAGGUGAAAUUCGUAGAUAUUCGGAAGAACACCAGUGGCGAAGGCGACUCACUGGACACAUAUUGACGCUGAGGUGCGAAAGCGUGGGGAGCAAACAGG